CCUACGGGUUGCAGCAGUGAGGAAUAUUGGUCAAUGGGCGCAAGCCUGAACCAGCCACGUAGCGUGAAGGAUGACUGCCCUCCGGGUUGUAAACUUCGUUUAUAAAGGAAUACAGUGAGGCAGGUGUGCCUUAUUGAAUGAACUCUAUCAAUAAGGAUAGGCUCACUCCGUGCCAGCAGCCGCGGUAAUACGGCGGAUCCGAGCGUCAUCCGGAGUGCUUGGGUGUAAAGGGAGCGUAGAUGGGUUGUUAAGUCAGUUGUGAACGUCUGUGGCUCAACCGUAAAAUUGCAGUUGAUACUGGCAGACUUGAGUGCAGGAGAGGUAAGCGGAAUUCGUGGUGUAGCGGUGAAAUGCGUAGAUAUCACGAAGAACACC
rnacentral:rRNA from 1 species